CUCGACUGUUUUUAAGGAAACAAGGUGAAUUGACUUCGUGAAUAUAUUUGCUAAUUAAACCGUCAAAGAUGAAUUGAAUUCGUGAAUCUAUUUGCUAAUUUAAACCGUCAAAGGUGGCGCUCCGAACAACUUGUCUGCAUUCAAUUGUUUGUUGCAACUUUAGUAUUAUGGAGAACGUAACCAAAGAAAAUAACAGAAUGUUGAAACUGUGGAUAAAAUAACGUGUUAGAAUAAGACAGAAAUACAAAAAGAAAUGAUGUACAUAUAAUUCAACUGAACCGGUUAUUUAUAAAAGAUUUGUCGUGGAAUAUAUUAUAAUACCAUUUUUUUCUUUGGGGAGAUUCUAGGGUAACUUGACAUUCUUGUCUGUUUGAUGAUGACCACGGUUUAAGCGAACUAUUGUAUCAUGUGAAAACGUUUUAAGGGCAACAAUAUGAUAAGGCGAAGAGUAUAUGAUGCUUGAAACGUCCUCGUGGCUGUGGGUAUCAAUACAAUACUAAAAGGGGAAUAUGGUCAAAGGAGAGCAUGUCCACGUUGGAUUAAAUAAUCAACCAAUCAGAAGACAUUAAUUUGCCAUGUCACAACAUCUUUGUCGAGUUAUUGGACCUUCCGUGUUGUUUCCAAAAAUUAAAUCAUGGCCUGUGUAAAGCCCAGCUGCCAAAAACCUAUCUCCUAAGCAUCUAUCAAUACGACUCUUCCACUUCGUCUUCUACAUCUCCAUUUACUGUAAAAGGCGUAACAGACCCCCCUGAUCAAUCAGUGAUACUCUUCAAUCCCCCUUUUAUGGUUUCGUUCCACCUCCCCUUCAUUCUCCACCUAUAUAAAUCACUACAUCUAAACCUAAAUUCAGACAAAAUCGGAAACUUCCACAGAAAGAGAUCACGCUAUAACCAUGAACUCUGCUAAAUCAAACGGAAAGUGUGUUCAUGAAGGAGAAGAUAAAUUGAGUUAUAUUUAGUUUUGUACAACAUCAUCUUUUACAGUGCCUUGAACAAGACCUGAACCAAGAUCGCUUGAUCUCAUGGAGCCAACAUAACCAAACUGAUAAAGAAGGAAGAAGGCUGAUCAUACAGGCAUGCGCAAUUGCCUCCGGCGCCGUCGUCUUCUCUGAGUCCUCCUUAUCGACUUGGGAGGACAAGGAUUCAUCUUUAGGUAUGCGUCGGUGGCGUAAGGCAUCAGCUUAUUUUCUCUCUUAAAUGCUUCAAAGAUCUCCUUGGCUCUCAUAAAUUUGGUUCAUUUGAUCAUUUCCAUUGAUGGGUCUGCCUUCGCUCACAGAUUCCUGUUGUGUUGGAGUUUAUGCCUUUUGAAACUUCCUCUAAGCAUCUCUUCCACUGUAAGUAUUUUCUCAUCUUUUAAGAGAUUAGCAAUAAUCUUAAUGUUUGAUCUGAUUUUGUUUGACAUAUCUCAGUGAUGAUAUAACUCAUUCUGAUGUUAUAUAUGAACUAUUCUUGGUAAAUUGUGAUGAUAUAUGCAGGGGAUAUCAAGCCAAUGAAGUAGGCGAGGAGGGUGAGAGCGGAUUGCGGCAACACAGAUCGCGUUUGUUUUCUCCUUUCAAUUUGCUCUUCCUUCUCUAUUUUGUUUGUUCUCCCUUCCUUCUUUCGGUUUGGUCAAUUAUGUUGUUGUUUCUUUUGAGAUUUUCGAGUUUAUCACUAUCUUCGAAAGUGGUUGUGUUGCUAACCAUGGCGUACGUCUUUCUUCGAGUGUACAGCGAAGGCAGCAGUGGUAGGGUUUACCAGUGUGGAAUUCCAGAAAGGCCUCUCGAUUGUUAACCUUUAUAUAGAGGAUAAAGUUGCUCAUGAUUUCUGAAACAACACACACUUCUUCUUCUUAAUCCUCAAAGAUGAAUCUACCAAGUCUCCUCUCCAGGUUAAUGGACUCUAAACAGAGCACUUGAAAGUUGAUUUUUUUUGGUGUGUCAUGUGUGCAACAGCAGUUUUUAUCGUUUCACACUAGGCUUAUUAUCCUUUAGUAAAGAGCUAACUGAUAUGAAUUAGCUUACUAUAAGAAAUGUUAAUGGAAUUAACUUAACAGCAAAUUGCAUUUAAAAAACGUAGACCUUCAAACAUAUAUAUGGAUUGAACAUAGAUUCUGUAGAUAUAAAGGUUGUAGAGUUUCUUUUAAAUGCAUUUAUCAUUCAUCAUUUUAAUGUUUCUACUUAUCUUAUGGAUUAUUUGAUUGCCAAGUUCAGUAAGUAAAUUUUGUAUGACUUUCUUAAUGUUACAAACCCAUUAUCUCUAUCGAACUAACAUAAUUUUUUUUUAUCUUGAUUACCACUGCUCAGAUAUGUGAUGUUUGAUCGAUCACCAAUCACCAAUCACCAUCCUAUUCUCCAGGUGGGCGUGCUUGAUGGCCAUUAGUGAAGCUCUGUCAAGAACGACUAUAGUGGAAAAUGAAUUUUUGAAUGAGUACGAAGGUGGUGGAAAAUAUAGCAUCGGUGAUCAUGGUUAUUGCUACAGCUGUGGUGGUGGUUGAUACGCGAAAUCAUAUAUAACUAUAUAUACUUCAAAUGUAUUUAUUUUUAGUUUUAUCUAUGUUCUAAGUUUAGUUAUCUAAUUAUUUAAUUUUAUUGUGUAUAUCAUGCUUAUCUGGCAUGUUUAAUGGCUUGAAACACAGUUUUGUUUAUUUGUUAUAUUUAAUUUUUCUCAUUGAUCAUAUAUAAAAAAAUACAUAAUUUCU